GGAGCUUCAUACAAGUAAGGUCUAACCUUACCAACCCCCUAGAGCAAGCACACAGGCGACAGUGGUGGUAAGGAAAAACUCCCUCUGAGGAAGAAAAACUCAAGCAGACCAGACUCAAAGGGUAAACCCUCUGCUUGGGGCCAUACUACAGAUAUAAAUUA